GGGACCUGCAUAAAAUAGGGCCUGUUUGUAAAUGGCAUAGGUUGACCUCCAAUAUCCCAUCAUAGAGAUUGAGGAUUUAAUAUAGCAGCCUGAAAAUCCAGGAAGAACUCUGUAUAUAUGGGCUCUAUGUCCGUAAAUACAGAGAACAUUUUUGAAAGUGUUUUGACCCAGGCCGGAUACUGUAGCCAGUAAAGCCAAGGAGCUCCUAUCUCCCCCACCCUUAGGAAUUAUCUCUGGCGCCAAACUAAGACCAAUGGGCUACCUGUGCAUCCCUAAUGCCCCCCUUAGGUUCCACCCCAGGCAGAGGCCACUUAUGUGCCUCAUUCCACGUGUUCCACAGAGAGAUCGCGUACCCAGGGGUGGAGAUGCCGCGCCCCUAGGGGGGUCUCUCCCUGCAUUCUCAAAAUAAAGGUCAUUUAUAUUUCAUACUUCUUAUCUUUUCAGCUGCCGCCGGUCCUCCCCCCACAGUUCUAUCAGUCUACUUCUCGUGGUUGCUGGGAAUGCAGAAUCAGAUCAUUUAGGCCAGGGGUUGGCUAUUAAUCACCGUAAAAGAAGCUCUGAGUGGCAGAAGAAAGAAGUGCAGGAGGUUGUAUCAGUCACCGCUCACUAGAGAAACAGAUUUAACCUAUGAUGUAUAAAUAUAAGGAUUUGCAAAGGAGGCUUACAAUGUCCGCCCACAGAGUUAGGGCAAAAGGCUCUGUCUGCGUGCUACAGAGCCAAAGGAUCCGCCCAAAGGUCAAAGGCCUGGAGCUCACUGCAGAGGAAGCAGAAAGGUCCUUGCUGGAAGCUGCUAAUCCAAUUUAGAACCCAAACUGUUAAUGACUGCUCUAUAAUUAUCUCUGGCACCACACAUCUGGAAUAAACUACUGAGAGCUUCCAGCCACGAGCCAAGUCUUCUUGAAGCUCCAAGGAAUAGGGGCAGAAGCAAGUGAGAAGUAAGUGAGAAGGUGCCGAGGACGGAUGUGGAGCACAACUAUUGACCCGGUCAUGGUAGAUUUGCCAUGGCAGGGAGCCUGGCGGGACAGGGGUCUUCAGUCAGCAGUUUCUCAUUCAUUCUUGGAACCAAAACCUCCCUGGCACAAUGAACCCCAACAUCUGGCACGUGAACUGGGAACUCACAGCGGAGAUGUCUGCUGUGGUGUGUGAUUUAGCCUUGCUGUGUUCCUGGGGUGGAAUACAGCAGCCAACUGGCAUCCACUUCAUUUUCUUCAGAAAAUCCCCAGCUCUGCCCAGAAGCUGCUGCAACUUUUGGCCAGGGAACAGACGAACACUGCGUGGCUGACUUCCAGGAGCUCCCAUCUGCUGCCCCUAACUUGAUUGGUCCUAUGUGGAUUCCUGCUCACUGCGUUUGCCAUGCACAGAAUGAAUUGGUACCAUGGUUUCGCCUCUCCCUGAGUCAAGCCCGGCUGCCUCAGAAGCAACCCAGUAUGACAACUGCUCAGCCAGGAACCUGGGGCAAUAUAAAGGCACUGAUCCAGUCUGCACAAGACUUGCCCCAUACAUCUGAAGAGGAACCCACUGCUGCAAGAAGCGGUGUUUACUAAAUUGACAGUGAACUCUUUAAUGCUUGUUUGUAUUCUAUUGCUUUAUGUUUUGCAACCCAUCAUGGGGAUAUUAGAGUCCCACAACUUCCAGGAAAGAUUGGAAUACAAUAUUUGGGUUCAACUGGCAAAAAUAGCUAAUGUCUCUCAUUUCUGUCUGGCUCAAAAGACAGAAAUAAAAUACAUUCUUGGAUCCUGUCUGAUUCUGAUAUGCAAAGACCCUGCCUCUCUAAGUAUUUACACCGUUUUCUCCACUGUUCCAAACAAAAUUGUAACAUACGGUGACUAUCCAAAUUGGGGAACUCACACCCUUAACAAACCUGACAAUGCUGUUAAAUGCCUCAUGUGCUCCUAAUGAAAAUUGUACUACUCAAUGUCUGCCUUCCUAAUAGUCCUGGGAAUUGUUCUAGUUAUGAGCCAAUAUUGUAUAGAUAUGGACAUGUUCC